AGAUUAUAUGCUGAUGGCCGUGCAGCAGAGGAGCGCAGAGUCUCCUGUCGGACAACAUCUCUAAGUCGCUAUGUACCAUGUGACUAGAUCCUAUUUACCCAGCCUCAACCAUUCAUCAGAAGGACUGUGAAAGCAGGAACUCUUUGAACCACCAGUGGCAGUUUCCACGGGAUGAAAAAGGGCAUAGUAGUGGAUGAUGAGGUCCUGAGACCAUACAGGGGGAAAAAGCAAGACAACCAAACCAAAGGUGGACUGUAACCUACUGGACUAUAUGAAAGACUUCAUAUUGACCACUACUGCCAUGUAUGCAGCAUGAAAAGUUUUUGAAAAGAGGGGCAUUUCCUUCACCAAGUAAAAGUGUGGAGGAUUCAUCUGGCCUUCAUCGGCCCCCAUGAGGUGACUCGAUGUAGAAUAAAUCAGCUUGCUUUAGGCUUGAAAUGACUGAAAUCUUCUCAUGAGUUGAUAUCAUUUUAAACAUUCUUUAAAAUACUUCUAAUUUCUUGUGAAUGUAUUUUGUUGUAUGUGUAAAACUGUUCCACUGAAAGAACCUUUUUUACCUUCAUUGAUAUUGUAAUCAAGGUUGUUAAUGCUAUGGACUGCACACAUCUGCUUGUGUUGGGCUUGUGUUUACAGGUUGUAUAAAACUAGGCCUGGCUGCAACAACUAAUCGAUAAUUAAAAUAAUCAUCAACGAAUUUGAAUAGUGCAUCAAAACAAACAGACCGCUCAUAAUUCUGACUAAAAUACACAUUUUGCUCAAAUAUUUUUUUUGUUAGAAAUUAAGUGUAGGUUUAAAACCCUACAUGUAACACAAGUAAUCAUAUUUAUGAGAGCAGUAACAGUAAAGGCACUAUUGUUGGAACUGUCCAUUAAUAUAAUAUAAUAUAAUUGCUCUGUUCAGACGAAUGAUUGUGUUUGUUCCUCGUACCUCUUACAAGUUAACAUUGUGUUUUUUUGUUUAAAUUGUUUUCAAUUCUGUUUCAAAAUUACA